CAUGGAGCUUCAAACUCAAGGCAACUCCCAGUAUACAAACCCUCAUAUUUCAAGAGUACUGCGUAACAGUUUUAGGUUGGGGUGACCGCGGAGCAUAAACAAACCUCCACGACGUAUAGAACUAAACCUUUAUCUAAGAGCUACUUCUCUAAGAAUCAGUAAACUGACGUAAAAUGACCCGAUAUCCGAUCAUCGAACCAAGUUACCCUGGGGAUAACAGCGCAAUCCACUUCAAGAGCCCAUAUCGACAAGCGGGUUUACGAC
rnacentral:rRNA from 1 species